rnacentral:rRNA from 1 species
AUUGAACGCUGGCGGCAUGCCUUACACAUGCAAGUCGAACGGCAGCACGGACUUCGGUCUGGUGGCGAGUGGCGAACGGGUGAGUAAUGUAUCGGAACGUACCUUUCAGUGGGGGAUAACGUAGCGAAAGUUACGCUAAUACCGCAUAUUCUGUGAGCAGGAAAGCAGGGGAUCGCAAGACCUUGCGCUGAUUGAGCGGCCGAUAUCAGAUUAGCUAGUUGGUGAGGUAAAGGCUCACCAAGGCGACGAUCUGUAGCGGGUCUGAGAGGAUGAUCCGCCACACUGGAACUGAGACACGGUCCAGACUCCUACGGGAGGCAGCAGUGGGGAAUUUUGGACAAUGGGGGCAACCCUGAUCCAGCCAUGCCGCGUGAGUGAAGAAGGCCUCGGUUGUAAGACUCUUCGGU